UACGAAGGGGCUAGCGUUGUUCGGAAUUACUGGGCGUAAAGCGCACGUAGGCGGCUUUGUAAGUUAGAGGUGAAAGCCCGGGGCUCAACUCCGGAAUUGCCUUUAAGACUGCAUCGCUAGAAUUGUGGAGAGGUAAGUGGAAUUCCGAGUGUAGAGGUGAAAUUCGUAGAUAUUCGGAAAGAACACCAGUGGCGAAGGCGACUUACUGGACACAUAUUGACGCUGAGGUGCGAAAGCGUGGGAGCAACAG
rnacentral:rRNA from 1 species